AAUACUUUUUUGUAGGUUUAGUUAGAAAUAAGUUGUGGGCUCAUGAAUGUUGUGGGACUGUACAUGCACAUAAAGAUAGCAGGAAAAAUUUUGCUUUGAUCCAUUACUAUAUUUUGGCUUUUGGAGGGAGAAAUAGAAGGGAAAUUAUUAUUCAUUGCUAUCCUAGUACUAAGAGGGUGUUUAUCUUAUAAGUAAUUUACCCGUUUAUUAACAUUUUUUGGACUUAUAAGCUAAAAAAAAAAUUAAUAAAUUGGGGAGCAACUUUUCAUUUUGUUGCUUAUAAGACUUAUAAGCUAGUUUGCCCACUAUUUUACCAUGUUACCCUUGUUUAAUUUUUAAAAUUUCACCACAUAUCUCGUUUAAUAUCAUUUUUAGUAAUUUUAAUAAUAUUUGUGCUUAUAAACUACUUUUUACCAAACGUGUUUGUUACGUAUUAGCUACUUAUAAUCACUUAAACCAAACAUAUGUUGCUAAAAAUUUUAAA
rnacentral:misc_RNA from 1 species